UGCAAGGCCAGGAAACAAAUGUUGGUAGUCCUAGAUCAGCUAGAGUGUUGGAGAGGAUAAACCCCCACAGCUACCAUUGUGUGUCUGACCUCCACUGCUAGAUGCCCUACUGGAGAUCAGGAAGCAAGGGCAGCCAGGAAAGUGGUAGAGUGCUGGAAAAAUGUCUACUGGAAAGAAGAAUAUAUGCACCACCCUUGGCCAGUUCACCAUGAUAAGAUGGAAAGCUGAGGCUUUGAAGCAAUUAUUCCCAUGAUCACGGCAGCUGAAAAAAAGUCCCAGCACUGUGAGGAGAAAGCUGUGGCAGAAUUUUGUUUCAUACAAAAAUGUCCCAGCACUGUGGGACGAAAACUGUGGCAGAAUUUUGUUUUGUACACUGUGGUUCUCUAUGCAAAGUCAUCAGUGAGGGUCAUUGGAGUGCAUUCUGUGGAGACCUUUAAGAUUAUUCCAUAGAAUAAGGAACAGUGGAUUACAUUAUUUGUAAUGAGAGUCUGUAAAUUCAUCAUGUAUAUGCCAUAAACACUGACUUGGAAGUGUCGCUCCUUAAUUCUGAAAUGUGCAGUUGUCUGCCAGCAAUGCUCUUCCGCUUUCUGCAUAGGGAAAUCGGUCAGCCUAUGGACCCAAAUCUGACAUCAGAAAUGACAACAUUCAGAAACCAGUGUGAGAAUAUUUCAAUCCCCCAGAGUAUUCUAUUGCUGACUUGCAAGCUGGCAUUCUAAAACAAAAGAAUUCCAGAUGGAGAAUCCAGUGGGGAACUGCUGAAUUAGAACUUAUCAAUAAAUUUUAUUUUAGUUAUUUAAGGCUGAAUUGAGAUUGUGUCAUAUUUCACUAGAGAUGUUAAUUAACAUAACACAAUAAUUCUAGCUUUGCUAUCAGCCUGUACUCUUUGAAUCUCACCCAUUUCUCUCUCUCUCUCUCUCUCUCCCCUCUUAUAUAAAUCUCUCUCAUCCUCUGUGUAUGUGAGUGUACUUGUGUGUUUCCAGGCAGGGACCUUGUAUCAGAAAUGGGCCAUUCAGAUCUAAGUUCUCUAUAUCUAUAUAUAUCUUAUACGUGGCAACUGAUUAUAACACUUAAUGUAUCUGAUGAAGUACACUCUAAUCCAUAAAACUGUAUGCCACAAUAAAUCUGCUAGGCUUGGCUACUCAGUGAUUACUAGGGCUGACUGUUAACCUGCUUUCAAUGGCCAAGCUUUCUCCUAAACAACAAAAAAAGAUAAUGUAACAACAUAAACAUA